rnacentral:rRNA from 1 species
AGUCGGACUAAGCUAGUAGAUGGGGUAAACGCUCACAUAGGCGACGAUCCCUAGCGCGUUCGAAGAGGAUGAUCCGCCCCACUGGGACUAAGACUCCGCUCCAGACUCCUACGGGAGGCAGCAGUGGGUGAAUUAUUGCCCAUGGGGCGCAACCUGAUCGCAGGCAAUGCGGCGUGUUUGAAGAAGGGCAUUUGGUUGUUAAGCAACUUUCGGCAGGAAGAAGGUAGUUUAGAUAAUUCCUAUGGAUAGUUGACGUUACUCGCAGAAUAAGCACCGGCUAACUCUGUGCCAGCAGCCGCGGUAAUACGGAGGGUGCAAGCGUUAAUCGGAUUUACUGGGCGUAAAGCGCGCGCAGGCGGUUUAUUAAGUCGGAUGUGAAAUCCCCGGGCUCAACUUGGGAAUUGCAUUCGAAACUGGCGGGCUAGAGUAUUGGAGAGGAUGGUAGAAUUCCAGGUGUAGCGGUGAAAUGCGUAGAGAUCUGGAGGAAUACCGGUGGUGAAGGCAGCCAUCUGGCCAAAGACUGACGCUGAGGUGCGAAAGCAUGGGGAGCAAACAGGAUUAGAUACCCUGGUAGUCCAUGCCGUAAACGAUGUCUACUAGGCGGUGGGGCCCUUGAGGCGUUAGUUGCGCAGCUAACGCGAUAAAUAGACCGCCUGGGGAGUACGGUCGCAAGAAUAAAACUCAAAUGAAUUGACGGGGGCCCGCACAAGCGGUGGAGCAUGUGGUUUAAUUCGAUGCAACGCGAAGAACCUUACCUGGUCUUGACAUACUCAGAACUUUCCAGAGAUGGAUUGGUGCCUUCGGGAAU